rnacentral:rRNA from 1 species
AUGAUCAAUUUUGCCUUGAGUUUUUGUGGAGGAAAUUUCGUCUUGGCUUUUGUUUUUGUUUCUUGUGUUUUUCAGCAGACAGUGACAUACUGGCAGCACCCACAAGGUAUUCAACGUUCUUGUGAACAUUAUUGGUCCCAAGGCCCCAGCUUCCUGCCAAGAGGAUUGUCACAGAGUGCAGAAUUUCGCCGGUGCUCAUGCAUCCCUAUCAGCCAUUUUUUACCCCAAAUGGCUUAUCCAUUUGCGUCAUGUAACCCUUUGGUGACUGUUGCUGUAAAUGUAAUUUGUCCUACUUGUUGGGGAUGUGACCAUUCCAUCCGAGGGCAGACUUGGUUGACAAUUGGCCAUCAUUAUCCAGAACGCGCGCUCAAGAUGUUGUUUAUGAAGUUAUAG